GGAGACGUAUCGAAGUGGUCAUAACGGGGCUGACUCGAAAUCAGUUAGCGCAUUCGCGCCCGCGAGUUCGAAUCUCGCCGUCUCCGCCA
rnacentral:tRNA from 1 species